CCUACGGGUGGCAGCAGUGGGGAAUCUUGCACAAUGGAGGAAACCCUGAUGCAGCGACGCCGCGUGAGUGAAGCAGUAUUUCGGAUUGUAAAGCUCUGUUAUCAGGAACGAGACAAGACGGUACCUGCCUAUGAAGCCUCGGCUAACUACGUGCCAGCAGCCGCGGUAAUACGCAGGGGGCAAGCGUUGUUCGGAAUCAAGUGGUGUAAAGGGACCGUAGGCGGUUGAGGAAGCCUGAAGUGAAAGGCGGGGGGCCAACCCCGGGGCGGCUUGGGGGACUGUCCGGCUUGGGUGCAGGAGAGGAGAGUGGAAUUCCAGGUGUAGCGGUGAAAUGCGUAGAUAUUAGGAGGAACACCAGUGGCGAAGGCGGCUUUCUGGACUGUAACUGACGUUGAGGCUCGAAAGCGUGGGGAGCAAACAGGAUUAGAUACCCGAGUAGUC
rnacentral:rRNA from 1 species